AAGAUAUUUUACAUAGGCCUUUAUAAUACAACCUGAUAAGUGUUAUAACACUUACCAGAUUGUAUUGUAAUUGUCUGUGUAUAUAUCUGUC
rnacentral:miRNA from 1 species